GAUGAACGCUGGCGGCGUGCCUAAUACAUGCAAGUCGAGCGAACGGACGAGAAGCUUGCUUUUCUGAUGUUAGCGGCGGACGGGUGAGUAACACGUGGAUAACCUACCUAUAAGACUGGGAUAACUUCGGGAAACCGGAGCUAAUACCGGAUAAUAUUUUGAACCGCAUGGUUCAAAAGUGAAAGACGGUCUUGCUGUCACUUAUAGAUGGAUCCGCGCUGCAUUAGCUAGUUGGUAAGGUAACGGCUUACCAAGGCAACGAUGCAUAGCCGACCUGAGAGGGUGAUCGGCCACACUGGAACUGAGACACGGUCCAGACUCCUACGGGAGGCAGCAGUAGGGAAUCUUCCGCAAUGGGCGAAAGCCUGACGGAGCAACGCCGCGUGAGUGAUGAAGGUCUUCGGAUCGUAAAACUCUGUUAUUAGGGAAGAACAUAUGUGUAAGUAACUGUGCACAUCUUGACGGUACCUAAUCAGAAAGCCACGGCUAACUACGUGCCAGCAGCCGCGGUAAUACGUAGGUGGCAAGCGUUAUCCGGAAUUAUUGGGCGUAAAGCGCGCGUAGGCGGUUUUUUAAGUCUGAUGUGAAAGCCCACGGCUCAACCGUGGAGGGUCAUUGGAAACUGGAAAACUUGAGUGCAGAAGAGGAAAGUGGAAUUCCAUGUGUAGCGGUGAAAUGCGCAGAGAUGUGGAGGAACACCAGUGGCGAAGGCGACUUUCUGGUCUGUAACUGACGCUGAUGUGCGAAAGCGUGGGGAUCAAACAGGAUUAGAUACCCUGGUAGUCCACGCCGUAAACGAUGAGUGCUAAGUGUUAGGGGGUUUCCGCCCCUUAGUGCUGCAGCUAACGCAUUAAGCACUCCGCCUGGGGAGUACGACCGCAAGGUUGAAACUCAAAGGAAUUGACGGGGGCCCGCACAAGCGGUGGAGCAUGUGGUUUAAUUCGAAGCAACGCGAAGAACCUUACCAAAUCUUGACAUCCUUUGACAACUCUAGAGAUAGAGCCUUCCCCUUCGGGGGACAAAGUGGCAGGUGGUGCAUGGUUGUCGUCAGCUCGUGUCGUGAGAUGUUGGGUUAAGUCCCGCAACGAGCGCAACCCUUAAGCUUAGUUGCCAUCAUUAAGUUGGGCACUCUAAGUUGACUGCCGGUGACAAACCGGAGGAAGGUGGGGAUGACGUCAAAUCAUCAUGCCCCUUAUGAUUUGGGCUACACACGUGCUACAAUGGGCAAUACAAAGGGCAGCGAAACCGCGAGGUCAAGCAAAUCCCAUAAAGUUGUUCUCAGUUCGGAUUGUAGUCUGCAACUCGACUACAUGAAGCUGGAAUCGCUAGUAAUCGUAGAUCAGCAUGCUACGGUGAAUACGUUCCCGGGUCU
rnacentral:rRNA from 1 species